CAACGUAUCCACGUACCAAACUCUCGAACUGUUCCCAACGGAGCAAACCACUUGUGGAUGAAGUUAAUGGCUGGCUGUCUUUCGCUGAUGGAGUCCACUGACUUUUGUCAGAGGGCUGAAAGGCAUUCGGUCGCCAGAGCUCUGCUUUGGGACUUCGCUUGCUUCGUUGCGGUUUUUACCGUCAGCAACGUGUUACUAUCAUUAACCCUUUGAACUUCUGAACUGAACUUGAAAGCCUCGCAGCAGUCCUCGCUGGCUUCGGUCACGGACUUUGCAGCUUGGUUUUUCUGAUUUUACGAAACAAAGAA
rnacentral:misc_RNA from 1 species